UUUUGCCCAUGUAUGUUUGUAUAAAUUAUUCUAAGUAGUAGCUCCACAAGCGAGAAAGAGCCAAGGAACGAGUCGACUAGAUCCAAUGGCUGCCUACGGCCAUAUCGUUACUGGCGAACUCUUUUCCUGGCAGUGGCCUCGUGAUUUGCCGGUCGCGUUCACUAUUUCUGUCGCACCUAUCCACUCUUCUCGGAAGAUCAAAAGCUGUGCUACUAUUUUACUGUGACUACCGUCUGUCCGGACUACCUCGCAGCCUCAUGCUCUAAAGCCUCUUUUGGACACUACUGCAGAAGUUAAGAGGUGUACGGUGACGAAAAGUUGACUUAUUUCUACGACAAGCGAGAAGUUCACAGCUGCCACUUCGGAUAGAAUAAAACUGCUCACUUAUAGAGCUGCUCAAAUACACCUGUGACAAUAUUUAACAGAAACGCGUAAGAGAAUGAGGAUUGAUAUCCAACAAAGUGACAUGGGUUACCUGUUCGAUUCAAAGCACUUAGUUCACGAGUUGGCAGCGAUCAUCUGGGAGAUUCGCCGAACAAGGUCGUCGAGACUGGCAAAAUAAAGAUGUGGAAAGAACAAUUACCUGCACCAGUUACGUGAGGCUCCUGGAAGUCGAUUCUACUUUUAUUAUGUUCAGUUAGCGUCCUUUAACAGGCUCAAUGGGGCAUGUUGUGCCUUAGCUACCGAAAUUUCAAAAAAAGAUAUCGUUUUUAUUGUGAAAUACAACAUUUACCUGAAACUGUUACAUUAAAAUGUGAGCAAUAACUGGAAGAAUACAUUUCUAGAAUUUAUUUAGCAUAAUGCUGGUAAUCUUUUGCAAGUUGUUUUUCAAAAAAGGUACAUAGAACUUCAUCAUCUAUUGUCGGGUUUUCGAGUUAAAACCGUUGUGCUGCCCAGAUAUUGUUUAAU
rnacentral:lncRNA from 1 species